rnacentral:rRNA from 1 species
UACGGAGAAUGCGAGCGUUAUCCGGAUUUAUUGGGUUUAAAGGGUGCGUAGGCGGAUCGUUAAGUCAGUGGUCAAAUUGAGGGGCUCAACCCCUUCCCGCCAUUGAAACUGGCGAUCUUGAGUGGAAGAGAAGUAUGCGGAAUGCGUGGUGUAGCGGUGAAAUGCAUAGAUAUCACGCAGAACCCCGAUUGCGAAGGCAGCAUGCCGGCUUCCUACUGACGCUGAAGCACGAAAGCGUGGGGAUCGAACAGG